GACGAACGCUGGCGGCGUGCUUAACACAUGCAAGUCGAACGGAAAGGCCCUGCUUUUGUGGGGUGCUCGAGUGGCGAACGGGUGAGUAACACGUGAGUAACCUGCCCUUGACUUUGGGAUAACUUCAGGAAACUGGGGCUAAUACCGGAUAGGAGCUCCUGCUGCAUGGUGGGGGUUGGAAAGUUUCGGCGGCUGGGGAUGGACUCGCGGCUUAUCAGCUUGUUGGUGGGGUAGUGGCUUACCAAGGCUUUGACGGGUAGCCGGCCUGAGAGGGUGACCGGCCACAUUGGGACUGAGAUACGGCCCAGACUCCUACGGGAGGCAGCAGUGGGGAAUAUUGCACAAUGGGCGGAAGCCUGAUGCAGCAACGCCGCGUGCGGGAUGACGGCCUUCGGGUUGUAAACCGCUUUCGCCUGUGACGAAGCGUGAGUGACGGUAAUGGGUAAAGAAGCACCGGCUAACUAUGUG
rnacentral:rRNA from 1 species